ACGACGCAGAAGCAACCAGGGUGUGGAAUCUGCGGCCGCGAAUCCCCAAGGGCACAGACAAGGACAAGGACAACGACAAGGACAAGGGAAAGGCCGUUGCUCAGCCGCAGAGGAAGAGCGGCGGCGCAUCUACAUCUGGAGCUGAGAAGGAGAAGCCGGUGGGCGUUUCGGUAUCGCUGACCAAGGAGGAGAUUGAGGACGACAUCUUCGCUCUCACCGGAAGAAAGCCGGCGCGCCGCCCCAAGAAGCGGCCGAGGAAUGUGCAGAAGAAUUUGGAUGCUGUGUUUCCUGGACUAUGGCUGACGUCCAUCUCUAAAGACACCUACAAGGUGUCUGAAAAGAAGUAGAUGGUGCAAGGAAGGAGAUGAUUAUGCCAUUCAAAACUGGUGCUUGAUUUAAUCUUUGAAGGAGUUUGAUGGUGUAAUUAAUCUUCGUGAUGGGAGACGAAGAAUUAAUCCUUAGCAAAUUAAUUUCUGUAUUUUCAAUUUCAAUUAAACUCGGAUUUCACUACUGAGAUCCGUUAGAGUUGCUGUUUAAUUAGUAGUGUCUUUGUGUUUUGCAUUUUAAUGAAUCAAAUCUCAGCUCUAUGGCUGAUCUGAUGUAAUAGUUACGGAUCUUCGUCUUUAAUAUAAUUUUCUUUUUAUUUACA